UGGGGAAUAUUGCACAAUGGGCGCAAGCCUGAUGCAGCCAUGCCGCGUGUAUGAAGAAGGCCUUCGGGUUGUAAAGUACUUUCAGUCGGGAGGAAGGUGGUAAGGUUAAUAACCUUAUCAAUUGACGUUACCGACAGAAGAAGCACCGGCUAACUCCGUGCCAGCAGCCGCGGUAAUACGGAGGGUGCAAGCGUUAAUCGGAAUUACUGGGCGUAAAGCGCACGCAGGCGGUUGAUUGAGUCAGAUGUGAAAUCCCCGGGCUUAACCCGGGAAUUGCAUCUGAUACUGGUCAGCUAGAGUCUUGUAGAGCGGGGUAGAAUUCCAUGUGUAGCGGUGAAAUGCGUAGAGAUGUGGAGGAAUACCGGUGGCGAAGGCGGCCCCCUGGACAAAGACUGACGCUCAGGUGCGAAAGCGUGGGGAGCAAACAGG
rnacentral:rRNA from 1 species